rnacentral:rRNA from 1 species
CAGGUCUUGGUCAUGUAGAGGUCUUGGUCAUUAGAGGAAGUAAAAGUCGUAACAAGGUCUCCGUAGGUGAACCUGCGGAGGGAUCAUUACACAAUAUGAAAGCGGGUUGGGACCUCAUCUCGGUGGGGGCUCCAGCUUGUCUGAAUUAUUCACCCAUGUCUUUUGCGCACUUCUUGUUUCCUGGGCGGGUUCGCCCGCCACCAGGACCCAACCAUAAACCUUUUUUUGUAAUUGCAAUCAGCGUCAGUAAACAAUGUAAUUAUUACAACUUUCAACAACGGAUCUCUUGGUUCUGGCAUCGAUGAAGAACGCAGCGAAAUGCGAUACGUAGUGUGAAUUGCAGAAUUCAGUGAAUCAUCGAAUCUUUGAACGCACAUUGCGCCCUUUGGUAUUCCAAAGGGCAUGCCUGUUCGAGCGUCAUUUGUACCCUCAAGCUUUGCUUGGUGUUGGGCGUCUUUGUCUCUCACGAGACUCGCCUUAAAAUGAUUGGCAGCCGGCCUACUGGUUUCGGAGCGCAGCACAAUCUUGCACUUCUGAUCAGCCAUGGUUGAGCAUCCAUCAAGACCACAUUUUUCUCACUUUUGACCUCGGAUCAGGUAGGGAUACCCGCUGAACUUAAGCA